rnacentral:rRNA from 1 species
UACGUAGGGUGCGAGCGUUGUCCGGAAUUAUUGGGCGUAAAGAGCUCGUAGGCGGUCUGUCGCGUCUGCUGUGAAAACCCGAGGCUCAACCUCGGGCCUGCAGUGGAUACGGGCAGACUAGAGUGCGGUAGGGGUGAAUGGAAUUCCUGGUGUAGCGGUGGAAUGCGCAGAUAUCAGGAGGAACACCAAUGGCGAAGGCAGUUCUCUGGGCCGUAACUGACGCUGAGGAGCGAAAGCGUGGGGAGCGAACAGG